rnacentral:rRNA from 1 species
AGAACGAACGCUGGCGGCAGGCCUAACACAUGCAAGUCGAGCGCUCCGCAAGGAGAGCGGCGCACGGGAGAGUAACGCGUGGGAACCUACCUUUUGGUUCGGAAUAACAUCGGGAAACUGGUGCUAAUACCGGAUAAGCCCUUCGGGGGAAAGAUUUAUUGCCAAAAGAUGGGCCCGCGUUGGAUUAGCUAGUUGGUGAGGUAAUGGCUCACCAAGGCAACGAUCCAUAGCUGGUUUGAGAGGAUGAUCAGCCUCACUGGGACUGAGACACGGCCCAGACUCCUACGGGAGGCAGCAGUGGGGAAUAUUGGACAAUGGGGGCAACCCUGAUCCAGCCAUGCCGCGUGAAUGAUGAAGGCCUUCGGGUUGUAAAGUUUCUUUUGGACGGGGACGAUGAUGACGGUACCGUAGAAUAAGCUCCGGCUAACGUUCGCGCCAGCAGCCGC